rnacentral:rRNA from 1 species
GUGCAGCAGUCGAGAAACCUCCGCAAUGCGGGAAACCGUGACGGGGUCACCCCGAGUGCCACCCGAUGAGGGUGGCUUCUCCCCGGUCUAAAAAGCCGGGGGCAAUAAGCGGGGGGCAAGUCUGGUGUCAGCCGCCGCGGUAAUACCAGUCCGCGAGUGGUCGGGACGUUUAUUGGGCCUAAAGCGUCCGUAGCCGGCUCGGUAAGUCCCUCCUUAAAUCCACGGGCUCAACCCGUGGGCUGGGAGGGAUACUGCCGGGCUAGGGGGCGGGAGAGGCCGAGGGUACUCCCGGGGUAGGGGCGAAAUCCGUUAAUCCCGGGAGGACCACCAGUGGCGAAGGCGCUCGGCUGGAACGCGCCCGACGGUGAGGGACGAAAGCUGGGGGAGCAAAGGGGAUUAGAUACCCCUGUAGU